rnacentral:rRNA from 1 species
UACGAAGGGGGCAAGCGUUGUUCGGAAUUACUGGGCGUAAAGGGCGCGCAGGCGGCCAGACAAGUCAGAUGUGAAAUCCCCGGGCUUAACCUGGGAACUGCGCUUGAGACUGGUGUGCUUGAGUACGGGAGAGGAUAGUGGAAUUCCCAGUGUAGAGGUGAAAUUCGUAGAUAUUGGGAAGAACACCGGUGGCGAAGGCGGCUAUCUGGACCGUAACUGACGCUGAGGCGCGAAAGCGUGGGGAGCAAACAGG